GUGGGGAAUCUUGCGCAAUGGGCGAAAGCCUGACGCAGCCAUGCCGCGUGAAUGAUGAAGGUCUUAGGAUUGUAAAAUUCUUUCACCGGGGACGAUAAUGACGGUACCCGGAGAAGAAGCCCCGGCUAACUUCGUGCCAGCAGCCGCGGUAAUACGAAGGGGGCUAGCGUUGCUCGGAAUUACUGGGCGUAAAGGGCGCGUAGGCGGAUCGUUAAGUCAGGGGUGAAAUCCCAGAGCUCAACUCUGGAACUGGCCUUGAUACUGGCGAUCUUGAGUGUGAGAGAGGUAUGUGGAACUCCGGGUGUAGAGGUGAAAUUCGUAGAUAUUCGGAAGAACACCAGUGGCGAAGGCGACAUACUGGCUCAUUACUGACGCUGAGGCGCGAAAGCGUGGGGAGCAAACAGGAUUAGAAACCCCUGUAGUCC
rnacentral:rRNA from 1 species